rnacentral:lncRNA from 1 species
GAGGUGAAGACAGCAAGUGGAGAAGUGUAGAAAGCCUUACCUGUCCCUUCUGCUAAGCAAACCCUUUUCAGCCUCAGUUCACCAUGUGCUCCAGCCCCCUGAACAAACUGAUGGAGCCAAAUACGGUUUCACGUGCGCCACCGGAAAGAGGAAUCACGGUUUUGCUCGGCCUGCUGGCUGUAUCCCUCCCGAGGCAGCGGUGCAUGCGGUUAGCGGCCGUGGCCACAAGGGCGCGCUGCUGACUCAUUUUCUACGUGCCCAUCCGCCCUGCUGAGGAUCCCGUCCCGCAGAGCUGCUCCUCCCAGCUGCCGGCCUGACUUUGAAAAAGACGCUGCUGCAUCGUGCCCCGCGUGUCUGUUUCCGGGUUUCCUCGAGUCUACAGAAUGCAGAGCAAAAACACACCCCACGCAUACGCUCUGAGCACCCAGCAAGUCAUCUGGUCUUUGACUGACACCUUUUUCUUUCCACCUGCUUCCUACCACUUCUUACCCCUCUGGGGCAGGGGUCAUGGAACUUUUCACUGGUCCUUCUCCCCUUCCCAAAGCCAGGAACAAAACGAAAACCUCAGCUGUAGUGCUGAUAGGAUGCUUUCCAGCCAGAAGCAAAAACCUCUUUCUACAAGGAAAGGCAGAAAAUCUUACAGAGCUAAAGCUUUUUGUUCUGUUUCAAAACUGUCUCUAGCCUUUACCAAACUUAGCAAGGUCUAUCCUCUCCUGUUACCCUUGACAAGAAUAGUUCAAGAAUGGUUCAAGAAUAAAGUAGUGACUGUGAGCUUUUGGGGCUGUGGCUUGCAUGGCUUCCUCGUGAAGCCUGACACCACUUUUGGACACAGUGAAAAAAACAAAGUAAAUUUUACUUCAUUUGGGAGGAGACAAUAUGCAUCAACAAAACAAACAAAACUCCUGGCACUGAACUGUGUCUCAAGAUGCAGUAGCUACAGUGCUGUUCUUAAACUGCUCAGCUUUCCUGCAUUCAACUUUGAUAAAACCUAACGAAACCUAACCCUGCAGAUAGAUACCUGUGUUCCUGGGAAGCUGUGUUUCUGCUGUGGCCAACUUUCUCCCUUAGGACAUACCCAAGCAUGAAGAUACCAGUUUCUUUAUACAUCAUGUAUGGAUGGAAUUGACUAGGUAAUCUCUGUAUGUCUUACUUUUGGAGUCUGCUCCAAGAGAUGUAGUUUCUUAUGUUUACCAGGCCAACUCUUGAACAGAAAUGUAACAAGAAUUAUUGUGGCCUCUGCAGCUUUCCUGCUGGCUUAAAAUACUUGCACAAGAAACAGUAUAUCUAGGUUCAAAGCACUUAAUCUGAAGUGGAGCAGCAUAUGGAUCAUUGGUCUCCUGCCAACAAAGGAACUGCCAUUAUUAUGGAGUUACUAGGCACUUUGAGAAAGGGAGAGGAAUCUCUUUAGAAGUAAAACAUUUCCCUUUAAUAAAUAUAUAAAGAUGUAGAUGAAUACUGAAUAC